rnacentral:rRNA from 1 species
AGUGAACGCGGGCGGUAGGCCUAACACGCGCAAGUCGAACGGCAGCACAGUAAGAGCUUGCUCUUACGGGUGGCGAGUGGCGGACGGGUGAUGAAUACAUCGGAAUCUACUUUUUCGUGGGGGAUAACGUAGGGAAACUUACGCUAAUACCGCAUACGACCUGCGGGGGAAAGCAGGGGAUCUUCGGACCUUGCGCGAUUGAAUGGGCCGAUGUCGGAUUAGCUAGUUGGCGGGGUAAAGGCCCACCAUGGCGACGAUCCGUAGCUGGUCUGAGAGUAUGAUCAGCCACACUGGAACUGAGCCACGGUCCAGACUCCUCCGGGAGGCAGCAGUGGCGAAUAUUGGACAAAGGGCGCAAGCCUGAUCCAGCCAUACCGCGUGAGUGCAGAAGGCCUUCGGGUUGUAAAGCCCUUUUGUUGGGAAAGAAAAGCAGCAGGUUAAUACCCCGCUGUGCUGACGGUACCCAAAGAAUAAGCACCGGCUACCUUCGUG